GGAUUGACACAUCGGUCGUGCCUUAAGGGGUAUGAACUGGUGUAGUCAAUUUCUCACCUUCUGGAGAACCGCGAUGCCCUUAAUUGGGUGUCACGGGGAACCAGGACCUUUACUUUGAAAAAAUUAGAGUGUUUAAAGCAGGCUCACGCUUGAAUACAUUAGCAUGGAAUAACGGAAUAGGACGUUUGAUUCUAUUUUGUUGGUUUCUAGGAUCGACGUA
rnacentral:rRNA from 1 species